GUGGGGAAUUUUGGACAAUGGGCGAAAGCCUGAUCCAGCAAUGCCGCGUGCAGGAUGAAGGCCCUCGGGUUGUAAACUGCUUUUGUACGGAACGAAAAGCUCUGGGCUAAUACCCCGGAGUCAUGACGGUACCGUAAGAAUAAGCACCGGCUAACUACGUGCCAGCAGCCGCGGUAAUACGUAGGGUGCAAGCGUUAAUCGGAAUUACUGGGCGUAAAGCGUGCGCAGGCGGUUUUGUAAGACAGUGGUGAAAUCCCCGGGCUCAACCUGGGAACUGCCAUUGUGACUGCAAAGCUAGAGUGCGGCAGAGGGGGAUGGAAUUCCGCGUGUAGCAGUGAAAUGCGUAGAUAUGCGGAGGAACACCGAUGGCGAAGGCAAUCCCCUGGGCCUGCACUGACGCUCAUGCACGAAAGCGUGGGGAGCAAACAGGAUUAGAAACCCGAGUAGUCC
rnacentral:rRNA from 1 species